ACGAGCUGAUGCAUAUCAAAGUAUUUAGCCCAUUGCCCACCAUCUCGCAGUGGGGAAUUUAGGGAUUACUAGUAAAGGACAACAAAAGGCAUGGCUGAAGCAGUACUCAACACCACUCAACUGCAGAAGCUAUUUAUUUAUUUAUUGCUUCAAAAGCUUGGUUCCUGAAGGAUGCUGAGCACAUCCUCAUCCUGUCACUCCUGUGUUUACACUUCCACCAUUUUCAGUUCUGUCUCCCAACAGCUACUGCUGGCAUCCAGUCAUCACAACAGGCAGGUUCCUCAGCACAGGGCACUGUUUCAAAGACCUGCUGCCAGCAGAGCAGGCAGCUCGUGGCUUGUGUGUGCGCAGAUGUACUGCAGCUCUUCUGAACAUGCACUUACAAGUGGGCACCUGAAGAAGGCAUUUCUGAUGCUGCAACGCUUAAGCUUGUUUAUAUCUCAAUGAAUAGUAGCUCAGGGGCAAGAACAGAGACUUCUUCAGGCUUUAACUAAAUGCAACAACCUGUGGUAAGCCCACAUCCUACCUGUGGUGAGUGAGUGUCAUCCUCAUCAAAGCUGGUGUUCUCCUUCACUCUAAUCCACUUCCCGCGGCAUUUCCCACUGCUCCCUCACCUAAGUCUCUUCUUUCAGAUCAACUUUCAGGACUGUUAAAUGAGAUGUGACUGCUGUGACCACCUGGUCCAACCCCCUGUAUAUCACGGGUCACUAGACUAGAAAAUACAACCUCUAGUGGAACAGCUGCUUCACCUGUGAUGGAGCAGCCAAUAUACCUCUGGCGCAAGAGUACAGCAUCAUUCACGAAUAAUUUCAGGUUCCAAACCUAGUGCUUCUGCCAACAUCAGUAAGCAUAAAACCAUCAAAUUUGUGAGGCUCAACACUAGCUCUGGCGUAGCAUGGUGUUUACAGAGGACUUCUGGUCACUGCUCAAGAUGCAAGAAUAAAACUGCCGGGGCUGAGGCAGAGGAGCCCAUGAAUGAGGAGGAAGGCUUUGUACACCAACCCAAAGCCAUUACCACCGAGCUUCUCCAUACUUACCUGUUUGCACGUACUCGCUCAGCAGCUGAGGAUGGCACUGAUGGGCAGCCCAGUUGAGCUGGUGGUGAUCACAGACACGCAGGAACCAAGUGAGCUACUUACCAAGGAGAGGUGUUAGCAGGGACACCAGUGCAGUACCUGGUAUUGCAGGCACCUCAUGAUCAACCACUGCUCACCUGAGCUUUGGCACAACCAGCACCAGGCAGAGCAAGGUGACCUGCCAACACCAGCCUAGCUUUCUGUGACCGUAAAGCAGAUGUGAAAGGCAGAUACAAUCUGCCCAUGAAAAUCUGGAAGGGGAGUUCUUGUGAGCUCCCUGAGUGUGCCCCAAAGCAGCGUGAGCUAAGGAGUUCAGCUGUGACCACUCUGCUGUCAGUAAGGUAACAGAGCAGCAUAAACACAACUGCAAAGGCAGUGGAAAAUUCACCUUUUCUGCAGCAAUAUACUGGCCCUGGAAACAAGGAUACCUUCUUUUAACAGCCACCACAGUUUGUCACAUGGCACUUUACACAUUACAGCUACCAAAUAGGUAUAACACUUGCACAAACAUAAAAUUGGCUGUUCUCCAAAAAACAGCUUUCCUUUCAGGCAGGCAGCAAGACUUCAAAUUCAUAAACUGAUUUUAUGGAAGUCAGAGGAGAAAGUGUACUGAGCACACUUUGCUCUCUGACAAAAGGUGUUAUGGCUAAUGUUCAUGGCAAGACAUUGCCUUUGGCACCACUGAGCAGGAACAUUUCUUUGCACCAGAAACACUGGUGCUAGGUCUUGCUUUCCCUCACACCUCUGACUCCUGCUGAUUUCAUUAAGAGUUUCCGUAUUUCACUAACUCAGAAGGCGUGCUUUGUGUAAACCUGAAUGCACACAGGACAGUGGUUUUAUGAUACAGUAUAUUCAAAGUCAAUAUUGGCUUAAGGUUUUCCUGCACAACUUCCUCCUGUACUUGUCUCUGUGUGCGGUUAAUGUGUUUUAGGUCAUGUUAGUUUUGAGAUUGAUUCACACAGUAUGGCCUCGCAAGCAGUCACACUACCACAGCUGAAAGAGAUACUCCAUGGCACAGCACAGAAGCCGUCAGUAGGAAAGAGGGGAAUGGCUCAAGCUGAUACUUCUGGUUUACACCAUACACGUUGUGAUCAUUGGCAAAGGUAAGGGCGAUAAAUCAAUCUCUGCCAAAAAACAACUACAGUCUGGUUAUUUCACUGCAGACCUCUUGGACAAUCACUGCAUUUUAGCACCCGCUGUGAAAUUAAGAAUGUGAGAUACUGAGAGGACCCUAACUCACAUGAGACCACUAUGACUGUGGAAAAGUUAAUAAAACUGACUCCUUUCUCAAGACUGAGCCAUGAAUUGUACUCCUGCCUGACAGGCUUCUGUAGUAAGGUAUACAUGCUUAAAAAUCUUUAAAAUAUAACCAUAUGAAAACUAAUUUUAACAAUAAUUACUUUUAUUCUAGAUAAAUAUAUAUAUAUAUACAGAAUUCAGACUUUUGAGGGAUUUGCUUUUUGCAAAUGUUUGAUUUAGUAAAAUACAGUGGAAGCUGUUACUUUGUGAGGAAGAACGAGGAAAAAAUAUAUCAAGAACUUACUUUCUGCAGGUUCCUUAGAUCUUCUGCCACUGGAGGACUUCCUCAGGAGACUUCGUCCUGAGGUAAAGAGGCUGGUUAGUUCCUCUAGAGGACUGGUAGGUGUCCGAGAACGGGAACCACUCUGAGAUGAUGACCCAUAUGUACUGACCGAGACAUUU